AUGAUGUGUAGGCUGAGGAGGACUGAGAAGAGAAAACACUGGUGUUACUGUUUCAGGUGUGGCAGAGGCCGAAGACAACUCAAAUGCUGGAGUGAAGUUGUGAAAACUCAGCUCACUGCAACCUCCGCCUCCUGGGUUCAAGCGAUUCUCCUGCCUCCACCAGCCCAAGUAGCUGGGAUUACAGGCACCCACCACCACAUCCGACUAAUGAAUUCCUGACCACAAGUGAUCUGCCUGCCUCGGUGUCCCAAAGUGCUGGGAUUACAAGUGUGAACCACUGCACCUGGCCUGGAAAUGUUCUUAAGAUAAAUAAUGAAGUGUAAAAUAAAAUUCCUGUAGUUAAGAAUUCUCCA
rnacentral:lncRNA from 13 species